rnacentral:lncRNA from 1 species
AGAGAGUUGAGUUGAUAUAUUUAUAGACUACCACAGGUACUCUCAGUCUCCAAACAACUCAGGAGAUUGUUAAGCAAGUACAUUAUAGAAUAGGCUUGGUUCUAUUGGUGGUUCAGAACAAGUUAGAGGAAGCCUGCCGCUGUCUCAUAGCUCCCACUGGGGACACUGUGUGGCUCAUUCCUUUUGUUAAGAAUCAGACCAUGAGGAGAGACCGAUGGACCCACAUGGUGAGUCAUAGCUACGGCUGAGAUCCAGGGACAGGUAGGGCUUAGACUUCUGCAGUUUGGACCCUAGGAGUUCUUCUGUGUUUUCCUGAAGCUUUGCUUUGGUCUCUAUCCAAGCAUUUCCCCUGGAUGGUUGUUCAUGAAAUAGUGAGCCCUGGGGCUGUCCACCCUGAAAGAGAGAGCUUUUCUCUGUUUUGUAUGAAUGGAAAGUAAGGGCAGCCAUAUUGGUGUGUAGUCCAUUUGAUCUGCCUUCAGAGGUAGCUUUUAAUAAACUGCCUGCUGCAUUUGAGACUCAGAUUAGAGGUGGUAAGCUUUGCUGUAUGUGCAGAGAUCCCAGCUUAGGUCUCGUGUUUGCCUUGUGCCUUCUCCAACUCGUGCUGGGUUGGGAAGUAGGCAUGGGAUGUUGGCUAGGCGUGUGGGUCUUCGUUCCUGUCACGAGCCAGACUGCCUCUUUCCCGUGUGCAGUUACUUGUUGGUUUGGGCGGAGAAUGUCAAGAAGGAAUAGCAUGUGCCAGCGAGGACCCCCACACCACAUAUACAAAGAUGGCACAAAUUGGACUCAGUGGGCAUGCGUGUGGGACAUGCGUAAGGGGUGUAGAGCAGACCUGGGAGGUGUGGGGUGAGCGUGACCCGGAUGUUUUCCAUGCAUGUAUAGAGUUGUCACAGAACUAGUAAGUGCAUUGUAAAAGUGAGAGUGUAAAAAUCAAGUUUACCCCGAGGACGGGAGGUAGCAGAGAUGCUACCCACGGAUGUUAGUUGUCGGUAAUGCUUUGUUUUACACGGGAACUGGGAAAUCUGAACUCACAACCGUAUGCUUACAGCAUAAGUUCGCUUACUAAACCAUCUCCCCAGCUCUUGUCUGUAGUGUUACUUUCCUCUAUGCUAAUUAUCUGGUCAAAAGACAGAAAACGUUGGACAUAUUACAGGUGAACGGGAAUUCUGUAUUUUCUCACUCUAUGCAUUGCAUUCAUUCAUUUAUUUUGUUCCUUGGUGUGUAUGUGUAAGUCACAGGACAGCUUGUGAGUUAUGCCUUACCGCCAUGUGCGUAAGGUCUGGUAGCUGAAGUCAGGUUGUUGGGCUUCCUGGCCGUGUGCCUUUAACCACUGGACCAUCCUACUGGCUGGGAGAGACACAUUUUCCAUGAGUCAUUUCUAUUAAAUAAAUGUUGAUUCGCAUCCUAGCAUGUGCUGUUAUUUUAUAAAUGUGGGCCAUGACCAGCAUGUCUUUCAUGUAUAAUAAUAUAGCUAGCUACUUUGGAAUUAGGUUUAAAAUUUAUAGCACAGUUAAAAACUAAACAAGUGCUUGACUUUUCUCUUUGUUAGUGUCUGCUUGUUUGUUAUAUAAUGUAACCGCAUCUCCUUCCCUGCAUCGGAAGUCCCACCUCUCCUUAGUUCCGCCCCUCUUAGUUCUAAUAUCCUUUGUGUUUUCCUGAUCCUUCCUGUUUGACAUCUGAGGGAAGGAGGAGAUGUACCUGUCGGUCCGCACGAAGUCGACUGGUCCUCUGAGGGGAAGUGAGGCUGAUUAUAGGAAAGACAGAAAGAAAGCUCAAGAGACAGCUAUGGGAGGGCUGCGCGGGUCAUUACCAUGCCAGCCCCAAAUGUAUUUAUCAUAGUCUUCUUAUGCUACAGUACCCUGGAAAGCAAAGCCACAGCUAACAGAAACAAUGCUGGUGGAAAUGUACACAAGACAGUUGUUCUCACCCAAAAAAGCCUUCCAAGGCCAAUAGAAUCUCCAGCCCUCAGCCUCGAGCCUCCCGUGCACCCCUUCUCAUUGUUCCUUGCCUCAGCAGGCUGGGAAAUCUGCCAACAGACCCUGACCUGCCUUGACUGUGCCUGGCAGGCAGACUUUCUCUCUCUUUUUCUCUACUUCAGAGAAAUGGCAAAUGCCUGUCCAGGAGAUCUUCAUCUUCCAAGUCUGGUUCUUUUCUCUGGCCUACCCAUUUUUCCUGAAGAUGGCAAAGUCUUAUUCUUUAUUCCUGAGUAGAGCUCUGUAUGCGAGCUUGAUCCUGUAGACACCAUUUUCGGGGCUUCUUUAUUGAGGUCUUAUACCUACCAGCCUUCCAACCUGUUCCUCUCUAAACCCUUCCAACCCCCAACACUAGGAAUCAAAGCUUUUAUCUGUACCGUGCUCUAUUAAUUCACUCCCGAGUCCCUCACACCCCUCUUUCCUAUUCCCCCGCCCCCCCCCCCCUCAGGAUUGUGAAUUCACUGCCUCCUGUUCAUCAUCGCUCACCAGUUUAGUGCACAGCCACUCCAGUCUUUGCUGGUUUCUGGGUGGUUCUGCCAUCCACUUUCAUGCAUCUUUUCCUUGGUCCCAGGUGCCCUUGCUUUGCUUCCCCUUCCCUCCUUUGUCUGCAUGAGCCAGUGGGUGCAGCCAGUGUUAGUAGCUUCACAAAUGUUCCCUGGAGCCAAGUGGACUCUGCCCGAGCAGCAGCUUCCCUCGAAUGAUGAGAAGAGACUGUAAACAGGUGACACGAAGAUGGGCAUCCCUGUGUGAUAGCACGUGGCAGAGCAGACUGUGGGACAGUCGUGCUAUGUGGGACAUAUUGGAUUUCAGCACACCUGCUGUCCUCAGAGGCUGCAGCUCUAGGCCUCUGUGGAGGUCCGGCCAUGAUUACUUUAUGUCUUUGAUGAAGAGAAGGGAAAUGUUUGUGUGUAUAACCACUGUGGAAAUGACAAUUUUUAACUUAGAAAAUUACUACUGUGCACUAGUGAGCAUUCAUGUCCGGGAAAAUGAACGAUAGUUUGUAUACUUUAACUUUUUUAGCUUAGAUUUCUGUUUUGCCCUAAUCUUUAGAAGUUUGGUUUAAUUUCAAGACAUACAUAUUUGUGCCCAUUGUUUGUAUACAAGCUACCACGAAAAUAGAACAGAAGACACAAUUAAAUGAGUAUUUUUCUUGGUGAGCUAUAUACUGGGGAGGAGAAACCCAUGGUAAAGUAUAGGUCUGCAUUUGUUUAAAGACUUAAGAUGCCACACAUCUGGGGGUUUAGAUUUUUUUUAAGUUGAAAGGGAACGUGCAAUACAUAAUUGUCUAGUAUGACCGGGUGUGGUGGCGCACACCUUUAAUCCCAGCACUUGGGAGGCAGAGGCAGGUGGAUUUCUGAGUUUGAGGCCAGCCUGGUCUACAAAGUGAGUUCCAGGACAGCCAGGGCUAUACAGAGAAACCCUGCCUCGAAAAAACAAAAAACAAAACAAACAAACAAAAAUUGACUAGUAUGUGCUUCUUUGGAUUGGCAAGGUGGGAACACUGAUUUUUAACACAGUGAAAAUAGAGUUGAAGUUCUUCAUUGAGUGAAGGAAAUAAGGAAUUGACCUGGAACCAGGCCAGCUCCUCAGCCUUGGUUUCAGGAAUUGUGACUUAACAGUGUGGCUUGUUUAAAAAUAUAUGAAACAACAAAUUGGAAGGAAUUAAUUGUGAGUUAUGUUAAAAAAUAAAAACAAGAACAGAAAGC